AUUGAACGCUGGCGGCAUGCUUUACACAUGCAAGUCGAACGGCAGCGCGGGCUUCGGCCUGGCGGCGAGUGGCGAACGGGUGAGUAAUACAUCGGAACGUGCCCAGUAGUGGGGGAUAGCUCGGCGAAAGCCGGAUUAAUACCGCAUACGACCCGAGGGUGAAAGCGGGGGAUCUUCGGACCUCGCGCUAUUGGAGCGGCCGAUGGCAGAUUAGCUAGUUGGUGGGGUAAAGGCCUACCAAGGCGACGAUCUGUAGCUGGUCUGAGAGGACGACCAGCCACACUGGGACUGAGCCACGGCCCAGACUCCUACGGGAGGCAGCAGUGGGGAAUUUUGGACAGUGGGCGAAAGCCUGAUCCAGCAAUGCCGCGUGUGUGAUGAAGGCCUUCGGGUUGUAAAGCACUUUUGGCGGGAACGAAAAGGACUGUGCCAAUACCACGGUUCGAUGACGGUACCCGCAGAAUAAGCACCGGCUAACUACGUG
rnacentral:rRNA from 1 species